UAACUGCAGUAACAUCAAAGUUAAAAUGCAUUUCUUUGCUCUCUUUUUGGUACUUUUCACUGUCAUGGCUUUGACAGUCAGUCAGGCAAUUUCGGAAGGAGAAACACCGAAUUCGUUCCAAGAAGAUCCAGAAACACCUUUAGAAGGAUCGGUCGAUCCGGCUUUGGGUUUUUCCAUAUGGUGGGGCUAAAUUCAUACCCUCGGCAAAAAGUGAGGAUUUUUGAGAAAUUUCAAAAAUACAUGGCAAUGAAUUAAAUAAAAAUUAACCUAAUUUCGCAGCAAUUAAAAA